rnacentral:rRNA from 1 species
UACGUAGGGGGCAAGCGUUGUCCGGAAUCAUUGGGCGUAAAGAGCGCGUAGGCGGCCCUGUAAGUCCGCUGUGAAAGUCAAGGGCUCAACCCUUGAAUGCCGGUGGAUACUGCAGGGCUAGAGUCCGGAAGAGGCGAGUGGAAUUCCUGGUGUAGCGGUGGAAAUGCGCAGAUAUCAGGAGGAACACCUAUAGCGAAGGCAGCUCGCUGGGACGACACUGACGCUGAGACGCGAAAGCGUGGGGAGCGAACAGG